rnacentral:lncRNA from 7 species
AUUCAAAGCUUGAAAGGAAAGGCUUAAGGAGAAUGACAGCCCCCCCGAGGAGCCCCUCCUCCCGUUAAGGCGGCGCGGCCCCGCGCAGCCACGGGGCGAAGGCACAUCUCCGAGCGGAGCGGAGGCCCCGCUCCCUCCGGCUCACGUGGGGGCGAGGCGGAGGCUCCGGGCUCCGGAGAGUGGCUUUGUCCGUACUCCGUGCCGACGUGCUGGUAGCGGGGUGCAGCAACCAUGCUUCCUUAAUUGAACAUCGUGGACGUCAUUUGUCAAAGGCAGAGCAUUGCAUGAACUAAGCAUAUUCCUGAGAGAAUGUGCAUCAGGAGCGGCUGAGUGGCCAUGUUGAAACCUUUCUGUGAAUUUGGUAACCUUCCAGAAGCCACGCAUACCACCAGGAAAGGCUUUGAUGCUGCAGAUAGGUCUUUGUCCCUUGGAGAUGCUGAUGCAAAUGUGCUUUGUUCAUGGAAUGGCCCUGGAAACAGUCAGAAAGGGGAGGAUCUUCUCUGCGCUGGCAACAAGGCAAAAACCCAAUUGCAGCUGUGCAGUGGCUAUUGCAUCAGCAGUGCAAGUCAACAUUUCCCCAGGAAUGUAAAGCCAUCUGUCACAUCCCUGCAACCUUUCUUGGUUACUCUCCCAGUGUGCUGCGCUGGCCUUUUUUUUUUCUGUCUGACACAGAACCUUUUAUUGGAACAUAUUUGAAAAGCUAAAUUCAGCAAAUGCAAGUUAUUAAAACUGCUUUUUAUAUGAUAAAAAUACAAAUGUGGGAGAUACUUUUUCACAAGUCAAAUUAUUGAACUGUGAUGUUUUGAGGAAACAGUUUCUCUCUUUAUUCUAAGAAUAAAUGAUUGUAGCAUACAUGAUCAUUUAUUUAGAAAUAGGGUCAUUUCUUGUACUUUACUAAAUCUUGUCUUGAAAAGGUAGAAAAACAGAAAUAUCAAGAAGACUAUAUAUUACGUAAUUGUAUACUGUCUUUGCUGAACUUUGAAAAGUUCUUUCAGUGCCCUCUCCUUGCUCUCAAUGCAAAGUAAUCUACUACCCACUGUUACUCUUAUCAGAUGUCUUUUCUGUGGAGUGGGCUAGCUCUGUUUCAGGAACAAAUUCUUGUGCUAGAUAAGGUCAAGUGAGAUAAGUUUUUGGAGACUGAGUUUUAAUCUUGCUUUGUUGUAAAUCAUGAGAAAGCAUGCUGAUUUUCAUCAGUGAGAAUUCUUACUUGGGCACCAAGUCUCCAGUGAUCACUUUGUAAUGUCACAAGUUAUUCAUAAUCUACUAUUGAGGUCACAGAAAAGUAUUCAUGUUUGGUUCUCUUAGGGAAUGUCUAGGCUUUGACAUUGUUUCUUUCUAGCUUUGUGCUUUAUGUAAUUAUAACAGAAUAACAUGCUUGGGGCACCUUUCAUUUUUUGUCCUGUGAGAGUUUAAUAAACCAUGAGAGGUAUUUUACAACAUGAUGAGUGCUCUUGUGCAAUGUUUCAUUGGCCACAAAUCCUCAAGUCACCUUCAGGAAUUCCAGAUGCCAGACUGAAGGUAUUUUUGCAGCUGUUCUAUGGGAGCUCAUGAAAGUGUUGCUCUCUUUAAAGGAAAUAAAAAAAGAAAAAUAAAGACCUUUUUAUAUACCAGUCCUUUUGACAGUUCUCUGUAAAGUAAGACAGAGGACAUAUAUCUGUUACAGCUGAAUGCUGAGUAUUUCAUCCAUAUGCCUGUGGAUACUUCAAAUAUCAUCUCCCUUGAAAAAUGCUUUUGCUGUAACAUUGAAGGAAGUGAACUCCUUUGAAUAGGAUAUAAUAUGCUCCAAGAUAAAAUGCUUUGAAUGGCUGUGCACUUAAUAAAGUAUUGCCU